rnacentral:rRNA from 1 species
UACGAAGGGGGCUAGCGUUGCUCGGAAUCACUGGGCGUAAAGGGCGCGUAGGCGGCGUUUUAAGUCGGGGGUGAAAGCCUGUGGCUCAACCACAGAAUGGCCUUCGAUACUGGGACGCUUGAGUAUGGUAGAGGUUGGUGGAACUGCGAGUGUAGAGGUGAAAUUCGUAGAUAUUCGCAAGAACACCGGUGGCGAAGGCGGCCAACUGGACCAUCACUGACGAUGAGGCGCGAAAGCGUGGGGAGCAAACAGG